ensembl:lncRNA
ACAUCUCGAUCCACGAAGGAUCCGAGGAUCCAAACUGAAAAGUCUGCACUUAGUCAGGUCAUUGGAGAAGAAACCCAGAGGGGAAGACACCAGAGGACAAGACACCAGAGGACAAGACACCAUAGAAGAAGGGACCCAGAAGAGAAGACACCAGAGGAGAAGACACCAGAGGGGAAGACACCAGAGGAGAAGACACCAGAGGACAAGACACCAGAGGACAAGACACCCAGAGGAGAAGACACCAGAGGACAAGACACCAGAGGACAAGACACCAUAGAAGAAGGGACCCAGAAGAGAAGACACCAGAGGAGAAGACACCAGAGGGGAAGACAUCAGAGGAGAAGACACCAGAGGACAAGACACCAGAGGAGAAGACACCAGAGGAGAAGACACCAGAGGACAAGACACCCAGAGGAGAAGACACCAGAGAAGAAGACACCCAGAGGAGAAGACACCAGAGGAGAAGACACCAGAGGACAAGGCACCAGAGGACAAGACACCAGAGGACAAGACACCAGAGAAGAAGGCACCCAGAAGAGAAGACACCAGAGGAGAAGACACCAGAGAAGAAGACACCAGAGAAGAAGACACCCAGAGGAGAAGACACCAGAGGAGAAGACACCAGAGGACAAGACACCAGAGGAGAAGACACCAGAGGAGAAGACACCCAGAGGAGAAGACACCAGAGGAGAAGACACCAGAGGAGAAGACACCCAGAGGAGAAGACACCCAGAGGAGAAGACACCAGAGGAGAAGACACCCAGAGGAGAAGACACCAGAGGAGAAGACACCAGAGGAGAAGACACCCAGAGGAGAAGACACCCAGAGGAGAAGACACCCGGAGGGGUAGACACCAGAGGAGAAGACAUCCAGAGGAGAAGACACCAGAGGAGAAGACACCAGAGGAGAAGACACCAGAGAAGAAGACACCAGAGAAGAAGACACCCAGAGGGGAAGACACCAGAGAAGAAGAAGACACCAGAGGAGAAGACACCAGAGGAGAAGACACCAGAGGAGAAGACACCAGAGAAGAAGACACCAGAGGAGAAGACACCAGAGAAGAAGACACCAGAGGAGAAGACACCAGAGGAGAAGAGGCCCAGAGGUCCAUGCGGGCCAGCAGAUGGCGUCCUAGGGGACCAUGAAGUUCGCCUGUGA